rnacentral:rRNA from 1 species
UACGGAGGGUGCAAGCGUUGUUCGGAAUUACUGGGCGUAAAGCGCGUGUAGGCGGUUCAGCAAGUCAGAUGUGAAAGCCCUGGGCUUAACCCAGGAAGUGCAUUUGAAACUGCUUUACUAGAGUAUGGGAGAGGAGAGUGGAAUUCCCAGUGUAGAGGUGAAAUUCGUAGAUAUUGGGAGGAACACCCGUGGCGAAGGCGACUCUCUGGACCAAUACUGACGCUGAGACGCGAAAGCGUGGGGAGCAAACAGGAUUAGAUACCCGAGUA